UCAAACUUGGUCAUUUAGAGGAAGUAAAAGUCGUAACAAGGUUUCCGUAGGUGAACCUGCGGAAGGAUCAUUAAUGAAAUUCAAGGACGCUCUUUUUAGAGGUCCGACCAAUUACAUUUUACCUUUACUCUGUGCACACACUACUCUUUACACCAUUUUUUAACUCUAUAGUUUUAAGAAUGUAAAACAAGUCUCGAAAGAGCAACAUAACAAAACAAAACUUUCGGCAACGGAUCUCUUGGCUCUCGCAUCGAUGAAGAACGCAGC
rnacentral:misc_RNA from 1 species